CUAUGCGCAUUUCGGAACGUACUUAAAGUAAAAUCUAUCGAAUUCUACACAAGCAGUUUUCCUCGUUGUGAAAACAUUCAAGAUGAGUCGUGUUAUGAAAAUUCUCAAAAGCAAAGAAACCCGUGACUAUUUUAUGAGCACUCACUUUUGGGGACCAGUUGCCAAUUGGGCGAUACCGAUCGCUGCUAUCGCCGAUAUUCAGAGAGAUCCCAAGUAUAUUAGUGGCAAAAUGACAUUUGAUAAAUUGUUAGAGGAGAGAAGGCAGACUAGAUGUGGAGUUAUGGAAUUCUCAUAUACCUUAUGUUGUGUUCUGGAUUACUUGUGAUACUGAAAUGCAGCUUUUAUGACACAAUAAACACUAAUAAUAUAUUAGUGAUCAUGUUAUAAUGUUUAAACAGUAUAUAAGGAAAUAAUUUUUGAUCUAGAAUUCAACACAAAGUAUACAAGCUUUAUGCUUAUAUUCAGCAAUGUUCAUGAGAUUUGCAAUCAGAGUGCAACCACGCAACAUGCUUCUAUUUGCCUGCCACUUUGUCAAUGAAGGUGCACAAAUUACACAAGGCUGUCGAUUUAUUAAGCAUCAU
rnacentral:misc_RNA from 1 species